AAUCUAUUGACAGUGCUGCUGAAGGAAGUUUUGUGAAAAACAUGUUCAUUUGAGCAACAUCUAUGGCCUGCAAUUAACAUUUAAAGGCGGAAUCAUGCUUGUAUGCACUCAAAAACAAAACAUUACCCACGAAAUUCAAAGCCUAGUACAAAGGUGAACCAAGACUCAACUCAAGAACAAAGUGAGUUGAGAGAUUUUAUACCUUUGUUGAUUCCUCUUUGCAUAAGCAAAGGCUAAUCACCCAAGGAGAGGGCCUUCAUUCUUUGCUUCUUAGAUCCAUGGAUUUCUUGGAUGAGGAUGGUUGAAAGGAUUCUCCAAGUUCCCAAAGUUGAGAACCUCUAAUUUUUCCACAGCAAAGAUGGACUUGAAGAAGAGAUAAGUGACCUAGAGGAAGUAAGAUUGCUAGCUAAAAUCCUCUAGGGUGGCCGGCCUCUUAUAGAGAAAGGGAGAGAUAUUGUGUUCUCAUCUUUUCUGUAAAAGAAAACCCUAAUGAAGAAAAGGCUAUAAAGUCAUAUUUAUACCUAUCAUCAUUGGAGUGGCAAACUUGUAAUAAGUUAAAAACCCACUCCUUUAUCAAUAUGGCCGGCAAUAGGGUGUUAUUAGGCUGUUUAGGCCUUUGUGAAUAUUUAGUCAUUAAGUUGUCAUACAACUUAAGUCAACGGGCUUGACGUUCGAAGCCUAUUGGGCCUUGGGGCCCAAAACUAACCCGAGGUCUUUAACAAACUUUAUUCGUUUGAUUAAUUAACAUAUUAAUUAAUCCUUGCCAUAAAUAAUUAAACUAUUUAAUUAUCCUUACUCAUCUCCGUAGUUUCUUCAAUCUCUACCACAUUGUUUGGUUUGAUAGUUUAAUCAUGUCUACUAUCCAAUGUGAUUCAUUUACUUAUAUGAUUACCUUGAAUGUGAUUUGGAACGACUUCCUAAAUCUCAUUCAUACUCAGGCCAAAGAUUCUUAAUCAUAUCAUAGAGUAUUCUCCCUCAAACGAUUUGAAGGUUAGAGAUCCCUUGUUGCGCAUUCGCUUACCUCCAUGGCUAAGUGACUUAACCCCAACUAUGUCGUGGACACCCUCUGACAGAGUGACUUUGACAUAGUCAAAGAUCAAGGACCUAACCACAAGACAACUAUGAUGCCUCAGGUCAAAGGACUACUUUGCAUUAUCCCGACCAUGAGUUCUCAUGUGACAUGAGUAUGAGAACUCCUCGUUGAUCGUGUUCAGUGAAUUCAUUCUCUAUUGAGCACCUACAUGCUUGUCUUGGUGUCAAUCACACCAAUGACUCGAGACCAGUCACUCUCCCUGAGAGAAGACACAACACGUACUGAUCUUAACGGACUGUCAAUGCCCAAUUGGCAAUCCUAUGAUCAAGAACGGUUAGGAUAUGUAUACGGAAAAGAAUGGUCUCAUGCAUCUAACUUCUUUAAAUUACAUUCUCCUAAUUACAUAUUCCUUGGACUUAUCGUUUAAACAUAUAACAUUUAUAUGAGACGGCUUAAAACAAUAAUCUUUGCCCUUGAUAUUAAACUAUAUUAGUUUAACAUGUCAAAUGUCCGUAAAGUAUCAUCAUAUGAUUGGUUUUAAGGCACAUUUCCAACAAUCUCCCACUUGCACUAGAGCCAAUCAGCUUGGUCAUCAAUGAUGAUACCUCUUCUGUAGUCAUUUCAAAAAUGGCUGAGUAGUAGGCCUAGGCAAUGAAUAUCUAUAUGUUAUCCAUAGAAACAACCUUGAGAAUAACGACGUCACCAUUAUACAUGGU
rnacentral:lncRNA from 1 species